rnacentral:lncRNA from 1 species
GUGUGUAUAUACGAUCGAUCAGGGGCAGAGGGUGAGGUGAAACCCUAGUUUCACCAAAAUCCAUCAAAUUGAAGGGGGAUUGAAGGGCUAAACUAAUGCAUGAACCAAGAUUGUCGAUCACUUUAGUGUUUCUACCAUCAUGAUCAUGUUUAAAGGGGAAAGCAUGGAAGGCAAACGGAAAAGGGAUGAGGAAGCAUGUACGAAACGGACACUCGAGAUAUGUAGGUGCGUAUGAUCAGACGUAUGAAUAUAUGAAUGCACGAAGUAGGAUUUAUCGUCUAUGAAAAGAAUGGGACAGGUAUGCAUGUAUACAUGGUUUCAAUACGUUUGAGUAUGGACGUUACUAAUGAUGUGCUUGAGAUUGAAAUGUAAUGCAGGAAUGAGAACGUCAGACUCUUGUAGAAUUGAAGCCGAACCUUGAAGCCGAACUCGGAACAAAGGAAUCCGAGAGGAUAGUCGAAUGAAUCAAAGUUUAUGUUGUCGAAUGUUAUAUGAUUUUUAAUUUGUAUCAGAUUAUUGUUGUAUGACGUUGUCAAUGACUAAUGGUUAAGUUGUAUGUGGUGUCCACAGGUACUACACGGAUUUCUUCUACCACUAUCGAAGAUAAGCGGGCAUAGAUCGAGUCGAAUGACAAGGGUUGUACGGAAAGAACGGUUAGGUGGUCUUAAUUUUGUAACGCAUUAAUUUAAAAAUUAAAAAGGGAAGUGAAUUUUGUAAGCUUCUUCUUGAAUGUGUGUAUUGUUAUAAGACCGUAAAGAAAUUUUUAAAGCUAUUUUUCCGUUGCUUUAUCUUUAAGUUCUUACACGACGAUCUUACAGGGAAUUGUUCUUAUUACGAACGGGUCAUGCCCGAAUUUUUCUUAAAUAAUAGUAUGGUAAUAUUACUUUUCGGACUAAGAAAUAUGGGCGUUACAAGUUGGUAUCAGAGCCCUUGUUUGAGUGAAUCAAGCACGAGAAGAUAAAUGCUUGAACUCAAACCUGUGUGCUCUUGUGAUAAGGAACCCGUACAAUCCAUGACUCGAUCAAAAUCUAAAGGUGAAAAAAAAAAUGGAAUGAAAGCGUGUAUGUAUGCAUUCAUAUGAGGAAACUAACGGUUUUUGUAUGUGCAAGGUAAGCUUAAAAGUUUGAAGAGGAUGAUCCGUGAAUGCAGAAUAGGAUGAACGCUAAGGCAGGCAAAGAUGCAAAUAGGCAAAUUAACCCCAGGUACAUGCUACUAAUAUGUAUGGGUACCGAU